UGGCGAACGGGCUGAGUAAUACAUCGGAACGUGUCCUGCUAGUGGGGGAUAGCCCGGCGAAAGCCGGAUUAAUACCGCAUACGCUCUACGGAGGAAAGGGGGGGAUCUCAGGACCUCCCGCUACAGGGGCGGCCGAUGGCAGAUUAUCUAGUUGGUGGGGUAAAGGCCUACCAAGGCGACGAUCUGUAGCUGGUCUGAGAGGACGACCAGCCACACUGGGACUGAGACACGGCCCAGACUCCUACCGGAGGCAGCAGUGGGGAAUUUUGGACAAUGGGCGAAAGCCUGAUCCAGCAAUGCCGCGUGUGUGAAGAAGGCCUUCGGGUUGUAAAGCACUUUUGUCCGGAAAGAAAACCUCCGCCCUAAUAUGGUGGGGGGAUGACGGUACCGGAAGAAUAAGCACCGGCUAACUACAUGCCAGCAGCCGCGGUAAUACGUAGGGUGCAAGCGUUAAUCGGAAUUACUGGGCGUAAAGCGUGCGCAGGCGGUCCGCUAAGACAGAUGUGAAAUCCCCGGGCUUAACCUGG
rnacentral:rRNA from 1 species